GGCCUGAUAGCUCAGUCGGUAGAGCAGAGCCCUGAAAAGGCUUGUGUCGGCGGUUCGAUUCCGUCUCAGGCCACCA
rnacentral:tRNA from 1 species